rnacentral:rRNA from 1 species
UGGGGAAUAUUGGACAAUGGGCGAAAGCCUGAUCCAGCCAUGCCGCGUGUGUGAAGAAGGUCUUCGGAUUGUAAAGCACUUUCAGUUGGGAGGAAGGGCAGUAAGCGAAUACCUUGCUGUUUUGACGUUACCGACAGAAUAAGCACCGGCUAACUCUGUGCCAGCAGCCGCGGUAAUACAGAGGGUGCAAGCGUUAAUCGGAAUUACUGGGCGUAAAGCGCGCGUAGGUGGUUCGUUAAGUUGAAUGUGAAAGCCCCGGGCUCAACCUGGGAACUGCAUCCAAAACUGGCGAGCUAGAGUAGGGCAGAGGGUGGUGGAAUUUCCUGUGUAGCGGUGAAAUGCGUAGAUAUAGGAAGGAACACCAGUGGCGAAGGCGACCACCUGGGCUCAUACUGACACUGAGGUGCGAAAGCGUGGGGAGCAAACAGG